rnacentral:rRNA from 1 species
CCUACGGGUGGCUGCAGUUGGGAAUCUUGCACAAUGGGGGAAACCCUGAUGCAGCGACGCCGCGUGGAGGAUGAAGGAUCUAGGUCUGUAAACUCCUUUUUCAUGGAAAGACUUAGGACGGUACCAUGAGAAUAAGCCCCGGCUAACUACGUGCCAGCAGCCGCGGUAAGACGUAGGGGGCGAGCGUUGUCCGGAUUUACUGGGCGUAAAGAGCGCGUAGGCGGCUUGUUAAGUGUGAAGUGAAAUCUCCAGGGCUCAACCCGGAAACUGCUUUACAUACUGGCAAGCUAGAGGAAUGCAGAGGUAAGUGGAAUUCCUGGUGUAGCGGUGAAAUGCGUAGAUAUCAGGAGGAACACCCAUGGCGAAGGCAGCUUACUGGGCAUUAUCUGACGCUGAGGCGCGAAAGCGUGGGUAGCAAACAGGAUUAGAUACCCUGGUAGUC